UCGACUCGUGUGGGAGAACCGGUAACACCCGGUGCCGAAGGCGCAACCGCCCCGGAAACGCUCAGGCCACAGGACCACGGGGGUCUU
rnacentral:ncRNA from 2 species